rnacentral:tRNA from 2 species
GUCAGGAUGGCCGAGCGGUCUAAGGCGCUACGUUCAGGUCGUAGUCUACUCUGUAGGCGUGGGUUCGAAUCCCACUCCUGACA